ACACACAAAUAUAAAGUCACACAAUAUACCAUUAUCAUCAAUUGAGAAAACCGGUAACAAACAUUACAUUUUGAUGAGUGCCAUCAUCAAAAUCAUUAAUACAUAUGAACUAUAAAAGGUUCCUUUUUAUUUCGGCCACUGCUGAAGGCAAAUACUCCUCUGAUGCGAUCAAAUACAAUAACCCAUGAAACAGCGGCUCAUCACGCUUUUAUUUUGAAAACCGACACGCAAAAUGAAGCAGUUACGUGACCCAUGCAAUGCGAGGCCUUGUUUGUUGCCAGUCACGUGGUUUUCAACAAGACGACACAAGCAUCGAAGCGGGGCUUCAUCGGACACACCCCCUUAUUACUUGGUACAAGCCUCGAAGCCUGGAUUCAGAUAGCCCAUCACUAGCAUCAAUGAGAGAAACUAUGGAAGCCCAUUUCCACCACUCUG